CCCAUCCCAUCCCAUCCCAUCCCAUCCCAUCCCAUCCCAUCCCAUCCCAUCCCAUCCCAUCCCAUCCCAUCCCAUCCCAUCCCAUCCCAUCCCAUUGAUCCCAACCCAUUAUCCCAUCCCAUUUUCCCAUUAUUUUCCCAUUAUUUUCCCAUUAUUUUCCCAUUUCCCCAUCCCAUCGCAUCCCAUUGAUCCCAUCCCAUUUUCCCAUUUUCCCAUUUUCCCAUUUUCCCAUUUUCCCAUUUUCCCAUUUUCCCAUUUUCCCAUUUUCCCAUUUUCCCAUUUUCCCAUUUUCCCAUUUUCCCAUUUUCCCAUUUUCCCAUUUUCCCAUUUUCCCAUUUUCCCAUUUUCCCAUUUUCCCAUUUUCCCAUUUUCCCAUUUUCCCAUUUUCCCAUUUUCCCAUUUUCCCAUUUUCCCAUUUUCCCAUUUUCCCAUUUUCCCAUUUUCCCAUUUUCCCAUUUUCCCAUUUUCCCAUUUUCCCAUUUUCCCAUUUUCCCAUUUUCCCAUUUUCCCAUUUUCCCAUUUUCCCAUUUUCCCAUUUUCCCAUUUUCCCAUUUUCCCAUUUUCCCCAUUAUUUCCCCCUUAUUCUCCCCUUAUUUUCCCCUUAUUUCCCCAUCAUUUCCCCAUCAUUUCCCCAUCAUUUCCCCAUCAUUUCCCCAUCAUUUCCCCAUCAUUUUCCCAUUUUCCCGUCCCACCCCGCCCCACGGAUCCCGAGGAUCCCAUCCCGCGCGCUCAGCACAGAUGGGAUCUGGGCCGGGAUUAACGUUGAGCAGGGAUUAGCGAGGGUUAAUCCCGAUCCCGCCGUGUCCGGGCCGGGCUUUGUGCUCUCCAAUCCCGAGCCGGGCCAGCGCCGGGCCAGCUGUUCCCGGGGAUUGCGGGGCUCCCUCCCUUUAUCCCAGCCUGGGGAGGAGCCUCGGAGGAGAUGGCCCUGCCAGGACCUGCCAGGACCUGCCAGGAGCAGCCAGGAUCUACCAGGGUCUUCCAGAACCUGCCAGGAACUGCCAGGACUUGCUAGGACCUGCCAGGUUUUUCCAGGACCUGCCAGGAAUUGCUAGAACCUGCUAGGACCUGCCAGGAGAAGCCAGAACCUGCCAGGAAUUGCCAGGACCUGCCAGGACCUGCCAGGAUCUGCCAGGAUCUACCAGGGUCUUCCAGGAACUGCCGGGGUCUUCCAGGACUGCCAGGAAUUGCCAGGAGUUGCCAGGACCUGCCAGGGUCUUCCAUGACUUGCUAGGACG
rnacentral:lncRNA from 12 species